rnacentral:RNase_P_RNA from 1 species
GCGGAGGGCCGGAUGGCCGCCUGCAAUCCGCUGACGCGGAUCGCACGGAGGAAAGUCCGGACUCCACAAGGCGACGGUGCCGGGUAACGCCCGGCCGGGGCAACCCGAGGGAAAGCGCCACAGAAAACAGACCGCCCUGUCAUUCGCUUGCGCGAACGCCAUGGGUAAGGGUGAAACGGUGGGGUAAGAGCCCACCGCGGGACGGGCAACCGGACCGGCACGGCAAGCCCCACCGGGAGCAAUGCCGAAUAGGGACCGCAUCAUGGGCCGGCCUUGGC